GCCGGGUUCAGUGGUGUGUGCCUGUAGUUCCAGCUACUCGGGAGGCUGAGGUGGGAGGAUCGCUUGAGCCCAGGAGUUCUGGGCUAUAGUGCGCUAUGCCAUUCAGGUGUCCACACUAAGUUCAGCAUCAAUAUGGUGACUUCUCGGAAGUGGGAGACCACUCAGCCUAAGGAGGGGUGAACCGGCCCAGGUUGGAAAUGGAACAGGUCAAAAUUCCUGUGCUGAUCAGUAGUAGGAUUGCACCUGUGAAUAGCCACUGCACUCCAGCCUGGGCAACAUAGCGAGAUCCCUGUCUCUA
rnacentral:SRP_RNA from 1 species